rfam:Candidatus Bathyarchaeota archaeon B24 scaffold370, whole genome shotgun sequence.
GCGGUGGUGGUCUAGCCUGGUAAGAUACCGCCCUGCCACGGCGGGGUUCGCGGGUUCGAAUCCCGCCCACCGCA